CUUUCUCCACGAGGCACUGUCGCGUCCCAAAGUUUGAGCUACUCAGGUUCGUGGAUUUCCUUUGUCAGAAUUAAGGUGAAACGACACCAGGGGAGUUCAAAGAACAAUCAACAUUUA